GAUGAACGCUGGCGGCGUGCCUAAUACAUGCAAGUCGAGCGAACAGACGAGGAGCUUGCUCCUCUGACGUUAGCGGCGGACGGGUGAGUAACACGUGGAUAACCUACCUAUAAGACUGGGAUAGCUUCGGGAAACCGGAGCUAAUACCGGAUAACAUGUUGAACCGCGUGGUUUAACAGUGAAAGACGGUCUUGCUGUCACUUAUAGAUGGAUCCGCGCCGCAUUAGCUAGUUGGUAAGGUAACGGCUUACCAAGGCAACGAUGCGUAGCCGACCUGAGAGGGUGAUCGGCCACACUGGAACUGAGACACGGUCCAGACUCCUACGGGAGGCAGCAGUAGGGAAUCUUCCGCAAUGGGCGAAAGCCUGACGGAGCAACGCCGCGUGAGUGAAGAAGGUCUUCGGAUCGUAAAACUCUGUUAUUAGGGAAGAACAAAUGUGUAAGUAACUAUGCACGUCUUGACGGUACCUAAUCAGAAAGCCACGGCUAACUACGUG
rnacentral:rRNA from 1 species